rnacentral:misc_RNA from 1 species
AGACAACAUUGUUCUUGGUGUUGCACUGGAAGGGUCAAAACUAACACUUCCAAUUGAGGAGGACGAAACGACUCCACCUUCUCCCUCGGAAUCAAAAGAGUUAGCUGCCUGCCGGAAUGGUAAUAGCUCAACCAACUCAAACAAAGAUAAGACGGACGAUAAGAUGCCAGGAGCUCCAAGCACACAAAGUACAUCAAAUGAACAAAAAGAACGCGAAAGGUGAUUAUUUGAAGGUUGAGCAAUGUGCAAUAAUGCGCUAAGGCUAUUUUUUUAGAGCUUGCAUUGUGCACACUGUAAAUGUUUUUCUCAUGAAAUUUAUUUUAUUAUAUAUAAUUGU